rnacentral:rRNA from 1 species
AUGCACGCUGGCGGCGUGCCUAAUACAUGCCAGUCGAGCGAACAGACGAGGAGCUUGCUCCUCUGACGUUAGCGGCGGCCGGGUGAGUAACACGUGGAUAACCUACCUAUAAGACUGGGAUAACUUCGGGAAACCGGAGCUAAUACCGGAUAAUAUAUUGAACCGCAUGGUUCAAUAGUGAAAGACGGUUUUGCUGUCACUUAUAGAUGGAUCCGCGCCGCAUUAGCUAGUUGGUAAGGUAACGGCUUACCAAGGCAACGAUGCGUAGCCGACCUGAGAGGGUGAUCGGCCACACUGGAACUGAGACACGGUCCAGACUCCUACGGGAGGCAGCAGUAGGGAAUCUUCCGCAAUGGGCGAAAGCCUGACGGAGCAACGCCGCGUGAGUGAUGAAGGUCUUCGGAUCGUAAAACUCUGUUAUUAGGGAAGAACAAAUGUGUAAGUAACUAUGCACGUCUUGACGGUACCUAAUCAGAAAGCCACGGCUAACUACGUG